ensembl:lncRNA
GACUAAAGCAACUUUGCACACUCGCCUAUAUGUAAUACUAGAUACGUGUAAUAUAGUAUAUAACUGAGUCACUUUGCUGUAUGGGAGAGAUUAACUCAACAUUGUGAAUCAGCUACACUUCAUAAUUCUUUUUUAGUUAAAAAUAAGAAAAAAAGAGGUGUCUCUGAAGGAAAGUAGGUUCUGAGCUACGGGAAGAACAAAUAAAUAAGAGAGAGAAAGGUGCCCAGCCUGGCGUGUGAGAAAACCAGGAAGACUGCGGUGUGGCUAGACACUAAGGGACCUGGAGAGGCAGCCGAAAGCCUUGAACUCCAUCCCUUGGCGCUGCUUAGCUUCACUCUGGCAGUGGGGAGUUCCACGCACCUACAAAGCUUUUCAACAUGCUGUUCCUACAACACGGCACUGACUAAGCCCUGGGCUUUCACUGAACUGUGUGUGCUGAGGUGGAAGACAGCUUUAUUGUUACUCACAAAUGGUGUAUUACGGAUCCCUGGUUCUUUUUCACCUUUCAUUGCUUGCUCCUGAUAUAACUUUUUAUAACAGGAGCCAUAGAAACACAAACUCAAAAUAUCUCAAGGCAGCAGAGGUAAAAAUAGAAUGUAAUAGUAAAGCCCAGCAAUCUUCGAAACAAAUCUUGUAAAGAGAACCUGUCGGGGUUUGAUCUCUUCAUUCAGCAUACUUGUCCUCACAGAGGUGCACUCAGAUGUAAAACUGUGACAGAAGAACCCGAUCCUUACUAUUCUGUAGGAGAUGAAGAGAUGGACAUCCUCUUGAAUGCCCAGCAAGGUUUUCUAAAGGUUUUAAUCUGUCCUUGUUCUGACCAUUUGGAUGAAGAGAGAAGUCAAAUAAACAGAUGAAGUGUGGUCGGAGGUGACGAACUGCAAAAGCAACAUGAAAUCCUAAACGUGAGUCUCCUCUGUACAUCAGUCAUGCUGCGCCAUCAUCCUAUUACUCUCUCACUUUAUGAAUGAAAAUUGUAGUUGCUAAACCCUCCAAAUCCCUCCCUUUUUUUUUUUUUUUAUCCUCCACGUGGAGUAGUUGCACUCUCUUAAAGGCACUGUCAUGGUUCAAAGCCACUGUUCAUAAAUGAAACCUCCAAAGUGACGUGAAAAAUGCUGAUAAUAGAUUAAUGAAAAGGACUAGAAUGAGGCACUAAAUCCACACUCUGAUUAAAAGUGUGUAAAAACCGUGAAUACAUAUGAAUGAGAUCUGCAAAGGAAUGCGGAAACAAUUAAGAUCUUGGGACAGUGAGUGAUUUUUCUAUUUUUUUUUAAAUUGCUGUUGAAAAUGUUAUUUAUACUGUAGUAAAGAUGUGAACCUAAAAAUAUUGCCCUAUUUUCAGUUUGCCCUCUGCCACCCGUUGCUCAUCUAUUUAUCGUAUAACAAGUAUGAUUUCUAGGUCCCAAGAUCAGUUGCCUCUCUUGUUUUCCCACUCUCCCCGUGUGAAUCCAUCCACCUCAUCCCUUUAAUUACUUUGUAAAAUAGUAAUGGUUUUUUUUCUAGAUCUUGAGCCCUGCAACCGUGUAACCAGUGGCCUAAGUGGCUAACACGACUCGAAAGUCUCAUGAGCACCUCACCUGCAAAUGGUAUCAUCCCCUCUCCACACCUGUCCCUUUUCCUAUGUCCUCAUGCUGUGAACCUCUCCACACUCCUCUGACUGCCCAAACCUGACACCAUGAGCCUUUCCUAUACACAUAAAAUAUCAUCUCUUUUUAAAAAUUAUACCAUCCCCAAUUUAUCACUCAUCUCUCUUCCUAUCAUCACUGUCAGAAACGAGGUUGCUCUCGGCUCUCACCAACUCCACUCAAAAGAUCCAACCUAACCUUCAUUUCUCUCCAAAGAAGGCAGAGUGAUCAUUUUAGACUAAGGAUCCCCCUUGUCACUCUUCUACGUAAAUCCCCUUAACAGCUCCCUGUUACUCCCAGGAUUAAGGGCAAACUGCUUAAUAUGUUUGAUAAGGUUCUCUUUGACUUGGCCUAAGUCAACCCUCAGACUGUGUUCUCCCUGCUAUCGCCUCUCCCUAAUCUUUCAACAAAUCCUAAUAACCACCAUCACUGGGUUAUGGGCUUCCCAGGUAGCGCUAGUGGUAAAGAACCCACCUGCCAAUGUGGGAGACAUAAAAGACUCAGGUUCGAUUCCUGGGUUGGGAAGAUCCCCUGGAGGAGGAAAUGGCAACCCACUUCAGUAUUCUUGCCUGGAGAAUCGCAUGGACAGAGAAGCCUGGUGGGCUAUAGUCCAUAUAGUUGCAAAGAGUUGGGCACGACUGAAGUGACUUAGCACACACACACCGGGUAACAGUUCUUUGUGCAACAUGGCGACCCCUCCCUGCCCCACCCCAGCACAAAUGUCUCCUGGCUAAUCCCAG